rnacentral:rRNA from 1 species
UCCUACGGGAGGCAGCAGUGGGGAAUUUUGGACAAUGGGCGCAAGCCUGAUCCAGCAAUGCCGCGUGCAGGAAGAAGGCCUUCGGGUUGUAAACUGCUUUUGUCAGGGAAGAAAUCUUCUGGGUUAAUACCUCGGGAGGAUGACGGUACCUGAAGAAUAAGCACCGGCUAACUACGUGCCAGCAGCCGCGGUAAUACGUAGGGUGCGAGCGUUAAUCGGAAUUACUGGGCGUAAAGCGUGCGCAGGCGGCUUUGCAAGACAGAGGUGAAAUCCCCGGGCUCAACCUGGGAACUGCCUUUGUGACUGCAAGGCUAGAGUACGGCAGAGGGGGAUGGAAUUCCGCGUGUAGCAGUGAAAUGCGUAGAUAUGCGGAGGAACACCAAUGGCGAAGGCAAUCCCCUGGGCCUGUACUGACGCUCAUGCACGAAAGCGUGGGGAGCAAACAGGAUUAGAUACCCUGGUAGUCCACGCCCUAAACGAUGUCAACUGGUUGUUGGACGGCUUGCUGUUCAGUAACGAAGCUAACGCGUGAAGUUGACCGCCU